rnacentral:rRNA from 1 species
AACGAACGCUGGCGGCAGGCUUAACACAUGCAAGUCGAGCGCCCCGCAAGGGGAGCGGCAGACGGGUGAGUAACGCGUGGGAAUCUACCCAUCUCUACGGAAUAACGCAUGGAAACGUGUGCUAAUACCGUAUACGUCCUUCGGGAGAAAGAUUUAGCGGAGAUGGAUGAGCCCGCGUUGGAUUAGCUAGUUGGUGGGGUAAAGGCCUACCAAGGCGACGAUCCAUAGCUGGUCUGAGAGGAUGAUCAGCCACACUGGGACUGAGACACGGCCCAGACUCCUACGGGAGGCAGCAGUGGGGAAUAUUGGACAAUGGGCGCAAGCCUGAUCCAGCCAUGCCGCGUGAGUGAUGAAGGCCCUAGGGUUGUAAAGCUCUUUCACCGGUGAAGAUAAUGCCGGUAACCGGAGAAGAAGCCCCGGCUAACUUCGUGCCAGCAGCCGCCGUAAUAC